rnacentral:rRNA from 1 species
UCUUUCUUUGCUGGCGACCGGCGCACGGGUGAGUAACACGUAUCCAACCUGCCCUUUACUCGGGGAUAGCCUUUCGAAAGAAAGAUUAAUACCCGAUAGUAUAAUGAUUCCGCAUGGUUUCAUUAUUAAAGGAUUCCGGUAAAGGAUGGGGAUGCGUUCCAUUAGGUUGUUGGUGAGGUAACGGCUCACCAAGCCUUCGAUGGAUAGGGGUUCUGAGAGGAAGGUCCCCCACAUUGGGACUGAGACACGGUCCAA